rnacentral:rRNA from 1 species
UACGUAGGUGGCAAGCGUUGUCCGGAUUUAUUGGGUUUAAAGCGCGUGUAGGCGGCUGGUUAGGUGUGAUGUGAAAUCCUCGGGCUCAACCCGAGAACUGCAUUGCAAACCGGCCUGGCUAGAGUGCAGGAGAGGGAAGCGGAAUUCCAGGUGUAGCGGUGAAAUGCGCAGAUAUCAGGAAGAACACCCGUGGCGAAGGCGGCUCUCUGGGACGGUACUGACGCUGAGACGCGAAAGCGUGGGGAGCGAACAGG